UUGACCACUUGAACAGGAUCUGUUCUAUAGGCUCGUACCUCUGUAUCCUAUCCUUGAGUUCUAAGGAGACAGGAUUCCAUGUCUGGUUGAUGAACCGAGUCUGUGUAAUCAGAGCGUGAUUAUUAGCCUGGCUUCUUCUUCAGGGGUUGCUUUGGCUGUAGAGGAUCAUUCUCAGUCAGCUCAUUUCGACUGGGAUGGUUACACAGUUGUUUGACAGACU